AAAGCUGAUCUUUUAAUUAAAGGAGGUGUGAAUAGAAAGUAAUACAAGUGGCCAAAGAAAAAAGAAACGUGGGCUGUUACGAGAAGAAUGAAAGGUAAGUUAGGUUUUCAAAAAGGAGAAAGAUAUAAAACAAGCCAUCAUGGAAUAGAACCAUUCAUUCACGUUGGUGGCUAGCCACACAAGCAGUAACACAUUUUUGGGGGAGGAAGCACAUCAUUUUUGGAUUUUUUUGGUUUUGGAGAAAGAUGCAUUUCUAUAGAGAAACACAAAGCAAGGUGUUAGGAGUAGAUUCUACCCAAGAUUUGUUGAGACAUCAUGAGUCUAGGCAUGGAAUCUUCAUCUUUCUUUCAUCCUUUGCCAAGCUUGCAUAGACAUAUGUAACUACAUCUACCCUUGUGGGUUUUGAGGUAUUCAAACAAGCCAUUAUGUAAACUCUUGAUCUUUUAAUAUAUGGUUCUAGC
rnacentral:lncRNA from 1 species